rnacentral:lncRNA from 1 species
CCCCAUACAUAAGUGCAAUACCCACUAGUUAAUCUUCGGUCAGUUAGUUCCCUUGCCCAGCUUGCAUCAAUGAAUACCUUCCUCUAUCUGAGUGUUUCCUGAAUCUCAAUCCUAGUCUAGGUGUUCCUUUAAGAUACCUGAAAAUUCUAAUGACAGCCUCAAUGUGUUCGUCGGUGGGAUUCUGCAUUUGUUGGCUUACAAUCCCCA